rnacentral:rRNA from 1 species
CCCGCUGAACUUAAGCAUAUUAAUAAGCGGAGGAAAAGAAACUAACAAGGAUUCCCUCAGUAACGGCGAGUGAAGCGGGAAGAGCACAAUUUUGAAAUCCGGGUGUUUUUUGCACUUCGGAGUUGUAGCCUACAGACGUGUUUUCUGUCGCACCUUUGGGUUAAAUCCCUUGGAAUGGGGUAUCAUAGAGGGUGAAAAUCCCGUCUCUGACCAAAGGCUUAAUGCGGCUCUGUGAUGCAUGCUCGAAGAGUCGCGUUGUUUGGGAAUGCAGCGCAAAUUGGGUGGUAAAUUUCAUCCAAAGCUAAAUAUUGGCGAGAGACCGAUAGCGAACAAGUACCGUGAGGGAAAGAUGAAAAGAACUUUGAAAAGAGAGUUAAACAGUACGUGAAAUUGUUAAAAGGGAAACGUAUGGAAAUCAGAUUUAUGCUGCCUUUCACAACGGGUUCAUAUGACGCGGACUGGUGCGGCCUUUGUGGUCGUGUCAGCACCUGUUUCAUUCAUGGAUCCGAGAUGUGUUUGGUGGAUGUCGACGUCAGUUUGCCGGCCGUCAAUUCAAUCGUACUUUUGCGACCCGUUCACAUUUAUGUGCUCGAGUGCUGUGCUGAUUGGGCGGUGGUGGACUGAGGACCGCAGCGUCGUCCGAUUUGUUUCGGACGCUACGGGGUCACCCGUGAACGCUUAGGACCGUCCGACUUAAUGGUUUUAUACGACCCGUCUUGAAACACGG